GAUGAACGCUGGCGGCGUGCCUAAUACAUGCAAGUCGAACGCUGGAAAUCUAGCUUGCUAGCUUGAAGGAGUGGCGAACGGGUGAGUAAUACAUAAGCAACCUACCCACGAAGACUGGGAUAAUCUCUGGAAACGGGGACUAAUACCGGAUAGGUAAUCGGAAGGCAUCUUCUGAUUAUUAAAGGUUAAAAACACUGGUGGUUGGGCUUAUGGCGCGUUAGUUAGUUGGGGUGGUAACGGCCCACCAAGACGGAGAUGCGUAGCCGGCCUGAGAGGGUGAACGGCCGCAUUGGGACUGGGACACGGCCCAGGGUACUACGGGAGGCAGCAGUAGGGAAUGGUCGGCAGUGGGGGAGACCCUGACCGAGCGACGCCGAGUGAGUGAUGGCGGCCUUCGGGUUGUAAAGCUCUGUUGUAAGGGAAGAACGGUAGAUAGAGGAUAUCUAAAUGACGGUACCGUACCAGAAAGCCACGGCUAACUACGUG
rnacentral:rRNA from 1 species